rnacentral:rRNA from 1 species
GACGAGCGCUGGCGGCGUGCCUAAUACAUGCAAGUUGAGCGCUGAAGGUUGGUACUUGUACCAACUGGAUGAGCAGCGAACGGGUGAGUAACGCGUGGGGAAUCUGCCUUUGAGCGGGGGACAACAUUUGGAAACGAAUGCUAAUACCGCAUAAAAACUUUAAACACAAGUUUUAAGUUUGAAAGAUGCAAUUGCAUCACUCAAAGAUGAUCCCGCGUUGUAUUAGCUAGUUGGUGAGGUAAAGGCUCACCAAGGCGAUGAUACAUAGCCGACCUGAGAGGGGGAUCGGCCACAUUGGGACUGAGACACGGCCCAAACUCCUACGGGAGGCAGCAGUAGGGAAUCUUCGGCAAUGGACGAAAGUCUGACCGAGCAACGCCGCGUGAGUGAAGAAGGUUUUCGGAUCGUAAAACUCUGUUGGUAGAGAAGAACGUUGGUGAGAGUGGAAAGCUCAUCAAGUGACGGUAACUACCCAGAAAGGGACGGCUAACUACGUG